rnacentral:rRNA from 1 species
GACGAACGCUGGCGGCGUGCUUAACACAUGCAAGUCGAACGGUAAGGCCCUUCGGGGUACACGAGUGGCGAACGGGUGAGUAACACGUGGGUGAUCUGCCCUGCACUUCGGGAUAAGCCUGGGAAACUGGGUCUAAUACCGGAUAGGACCAUUGCCUGCAUGGGUGGUGGUGGAAAGCUUUUGCGGUGUGGGAUGGGCCCGCGGCCUAUCAGCUUGUUGGUGGGGUGAUGGCCUACCAAGGCGACGACGGGUAGCCGGCCUGAGAGGGUGACCGGCCACACUGGGACUGAGAUACGGCCCAGACUCCUACGGGAGGCAGCAGUGGGGAAUAUUGCACAAUGGGCGCAAGCCUGAUGCAGCGACGCCGCGUGAGGGACGACGGCCUUCGGGUUGUAAACCUCUUUCAGCACCGACGAAGCGCAAGUGACGGUAGGUGCAGAAGAAGGACCGGCCAACUACGUGCCAGCCGCCGCGGUAA